CCUACGGGUGGCAGCAGUGAGGAAUAUUGGUCAAUGGGCGCGAGACUGAACCAGCCAAGUAGCGUGAGGGAUGAAUGUCCUGCGGGUUGUAAACUUCUUUUGUAAAGGAAUAAAGUCAGGCACGUGUGCCUUGUUGAGUGUACUUUAUGAAUAAGGAUCGGCUAACUCCGUGCCAGCAGCCGCGGUAAUACGGAGGGUCCGAGCGUUAUCCGGAUUUAUUGGGUUUAAAGGGGGCGGAGAUGGGUUGUUAAGUCAGUGGUUAAAGUUUGCGGCGCAAACCUAAAACCGCAUUUGAUACUGGCAGUCUCGAGUACAGGAGAGGUAUGCGGAAUUCGCGGUGUAGCGGUGAAAUGCAUAGAUAUCACGAAGAACUCCGAUUGCGAAGGCAGCAUACUAGACUCACACUGACACUGAUGCACGAAAGUGUGGGUAUCAAACAGGAUUAGAUACCCGAGUAGUC
rnacentral:rRNA from 1 species